GGGUGAAAUACUGCCAGUCUCAAUAUUUCUUCUUUUUUGGUAGUGGGUUCACCUAGGGGUACUUUAAGUGCUCUAUCUUACAUCCCCAGCCUAAGGUCUUUGUGAACAAAAACUGCUUAAAGUUGCCCCUUUACUUGGCAAUCCAGGGUUUUUUUUAAUACCCAGGAACAUUGUGCCAUUAUAUUAUAUAAGAUAUGUAAGUGUAUAUCUUUCUUUUGUAAGUGGGAGAAGUGGGAUGUAGGAAAACAUAGUGAUGUUGAUUUUUUUUUUAUUAGUUGUUCAAAACAUUACAAAGCUCUUGACAUUGAUGUUGAUUCUUUAAACCCAAAGAAUAUAUGUGCCCAUGUACUUCUUGAGUCUUCAUUUUACCCUCGCGGUACAUAUCUCACUUUAAAGAAUGCUACUCUAAUUUGUUUUCUUCUCCUGCACCCACCAUUAUUAAUGUUUUAUGCAGUUAAUGUUUGCUGAGUUCUUACCAAUUUCUUUGUUCACCAGUUCUGCACUGGAGAUCCGCUUUUAGUUACUCUUUUCUUUAUUUUUAAGUUGUUUAGACUGCCAUUGAAAUUGCCAUCCUCCUGCCUCAGUAGCCUGAGUUACUGGGAGUACAGGUAUGCACCAUGGUGCUGGGCUUCUUUCCUUUUUCUUGAAGUAAAAGAAUUCCCCUUUAGAACUACCUGGGGUGGGGGGAAGGGGGCUCUGCUGAUGGUUCACUAAAUUUGUUUACUAAAAGUAUCUUGAGUUGUCUUAAAUUUUGCAAUUCUAUUUUUUAAUGUUUUUAUUUUAACACAAAAGUUAUAUUUUAAGUGAUAUACUAUAAGGGGAAAACAAAAUAAAAAUUCUAGAGAAGAAAUUAUCUUCAUCUUCUGUGAUCUUAAACUAUAAACAAACUAUAGUUGAUUACAGCCCUACUUUAUAUGUCUACACUGACUGGUUUUAGAAAUUCCACAUUUUGUAAUUCCAACAGAUUGUGAUAGAUAACUAAGACACAAAUCCCUUGAUUUGAUAAGCAGUUUCCAAUGGGAGUAAGUUUGUAUAUAUUCUCUAGUAUCUACUACCUAUGAAGAACUUUGGUUUCAAAGUUAUAUGUGUGCUAGGUGCAGUGGCACAUGCUUGUUAUCUCAGCUACUCCAGAGGCUGAGAUAGAAGGAUCAUAAGUUUGAGGCCAGUUCAGGUGCCUUAGCAAGAUCCUGUCACAAAAUAAAAAAGGCUGGGGAUGUAGCUCAGUGCUAGAGUGCCACUGGGUUCAAUCCCCAGCAGGAUACAAAACAUACAAAAAGAGGUUAUAUAUGCAAUUCAAAAUGCUCCCUUGUAAAUGAUGAGACAGGGUUCUUAUUUAAACAUUACUGAUAUCAACAAAGCUUUCUUAUACACAAUUACUGCACCUGGUAUUCAAAGUUUACUGAACGAUGGGGCUUUGGUUAUAGCUCAGUGGUAGAGUGCUUGCCUAGUACGUGUAAGGCUCUGGGUUCAAUCCUCAGCACCUCAUAAAAAUAAAG
rnacentral:lncRNA from 1 species